rnacentral:rRNA from 1 species
AUGCAUGUCUACGCGACAAGAUCGAGAUUGUGCUGUGAUGCGUCGGUUGAUCCCAGCCAGCUAACAAAUUCGGCCGGUGCCUAUAUGUCCGUGAUUGCUUCCGUCGCCAUCCUGCAACCCCCCUCCACUAGCUGCUUGAUUCCUCUCUUCUUCUCCUACCUCCUUCCAACCACAAGCUCUCUAGCUAGCGAGCUAGCUGCUUCUCUUUAUAAAGGUCAUUCCAGAGCUCCGUCUGCCAUUCCAGAGCUGCAAGACUGCAAAAGAAAUCGCUACCUUUCUGCCUCACUUCUUCUACCUCAGUUGAUUAAUGGGGAUGGGGUUCCCGGCGGCGGUGCACGCGGAGGUGCCAAGGCUGCUGCUCAACCUCCUCUUCCUGCUCGACCACCUCCACCGCCUCUCCUCCUGGCUACUCCGCCUUGUCGGCGUGGGCAUACACGACGACCUGAGCCUCAGCUUCGACUACCCCACCCCACCACCUCCGACUUCGCCGACCACCACCACCAACACCACCAUGGCCUUGAGCUGGAGCUGGAGAAGCAUUCCCCGGCCGUGCGCUUCGACGCGCUCUCCACUACUGGAGACGACACGCUGCUGCUGCCGGAGGGCUGCGCGGUGUGCCUCGGCGAUUUCCACGGCGCCAUGCGCGUGCACCGGCCGCGCGGGUGCCGCCACGUAUUCCACCGCGACUACCUCGAGCCCUCGACUGCUGGGCCACGUACGGCCACCCAGUGGCGGAGCCAGAAAUUUUGUUUAGCCUGGGCAAACUUGAGCCUAAGCGCCUGA